rnacentral:rRNA from 1 species
UACGGAGGGGGCUAGCGUUGUUCGGAAUUACUGGGCGUAAAGCGCGCGUAGGCGGAUCUGCAAGUCGGGGGUGAAAUCCCGAGGCUCAACCUCGGAACUGCCUUCGAUACUGCGGGUCUCGAGUCCGGGAGAGGUGAGUGGAAUUCCUAGUGUAGAGGUGAAAUUCGUAGAUAUUAGGAAGAACACCAGUGGCGAAGGCGGCUCACUGGCCCGGUACUGGACGCUGAGGCGCGAAAGCGUGGGGAGCAAACAGGG